CGGGCCGCGAGCUGCGCGCUGCUGGCUCCCGGCCGCCGCCGGGUUUGUGCCGCGCGCCGACUCACCGAGCCGCCCGCCGAGUCCGCGUCUACACCCCCAUCCGACCCGAUUGGAUUUUUGGCGUCUGUCUAUAUAGAGGUGGAGGGGAACAAUUCACCGUCUUGAUUUCCAAAACAAACAAGCCCGGACAGGGGUGCUGGUCCCCGUGGAAACGACUCAACCCUGUUUUCCGUCACUUGCACCUGGCUCCCGGGUUGCCCUGGCCCUGCAAGCCGGGGUCCACGAAAAUGCGAUUUUAACAACUUUU